UACUAAUUUAUAGCUGUUUUAAAUUUAUACUUUGUUAAAAAAUUACAUCGAUGGAAUAAUAAUAAUUUUUUAAGUUAAUAAAUUUUACCUUUGGUAUAAUGGUUACACAAAAAUUAUAUUGAAUAAUAUUUCCCGAAUUGAGAAGAGCUAUCUAUGGGCUUGUCUUAGAAAAUAAACAAGUUAUGUCGAAAUAUGGCUAAAAGACCUUUAGAUAGGAGCGAAAAACUUUCAAUUCUCAGGAUAUCUGGUAGUCUUAGAAAAGCAUUUAGUGCUGAAAAAUUAGAUACAAAGUGAUGAAAUUUUGUAUAAUUAGAAUUAUAAAUUUUAUUUUUGGAUUCUAGAAUUAAUCUUACAGAAUUCUUUCUAUUAAAACUAUUUAUUUUUUAUUUAAUCUAUAUUAUAUAAGACUUUUUCAAAUAAUUUUGUUUGGAACUAAUAAUGUGUAAAUGAGUAGUGUAUUAGUAUAAAAUAUAAUAUUUUAAUAUAAAUAUUUUAGUUAUGCUUAUUUUUAUUAAUUAAUUAAAAGGAACUCGGCAAAUAGAAACUUCGACUGUUUAACAAAAACAUAGCCUUAGGAAAUAAAUCUUAGGUUAGACCUGCCCAAUGUAAUUUUAUCAAUGGCCGCGGUACUUUGACCGUGCUAAGGUAGCGCAAUCAAUUGGCUUUUAAUUGGAGCCAGGUAUGAAUGGAGUCACGGGGUUUAGCUGUCUCUAAAUUAAUUUAUUGAAGUUACUAUCUAGGUGAAAAAGCCUAGAAAAAGAAAAAGGACGAGAAGACCCUUAGAGUUUUCCUUAUAGUAGAUUAUUUCUAUAACAGUUUAGUUGGGGCAACAUAGGAUCAGAAUUAUAACAUCCUUAAAAUAAUUUACCGAUUAUAAUAAAUUUGAAUAAACUACCUUAGGGAUAACAGCAUAAUUUUAUAAAUAAGUUUGUGACCUCGAUGUUGGACUAGGAAACUGAAGGGCUAGCCGCCUUUUAGGAAAGUUCUGUUCGAACUAUUAUUCCU
rnacentral:rRNA from 1 species